UACAGGGGGGGCAAGCGUUGUUCGGAAUUACUGGGCGUAAAGGGCGCGUAGGCGGUCGUGACAAGUCACUUGUGAAAUCUCCGGGCUUAACUCGGAACGGUCAAGUGAUACUGUCGGACUAGAGUACAGAAGGGGCAACUGGAAUUCUCGGUGUAGCGGUGAAAUGCGUAGAUAUCGAGAGGAACACCGGUGGCGAAGGCGGGUCUCUGGGCAGUAACUGACGCUGAGGAGCGAAAGCGUGGGGAGCAAACAGG
rnacentral:rRNA from 1 species